AGCUGCGCUUCCGUAGGUGACCUGCGGAGGAUCAUUCAUAAUAAGUGUUUUAUGGCACUUUUUAAAUCCAUAUCCACCUUGUGUGCAAUGUCGGUCGAUCUUCUUCAUGGAGAUCGACCAAACAUCAACCUUUAUUUUUUAACUCUUUGUCUGAAAAAUAUUAUGAAUAAACAAUUCAAAAUACAACUUUCAACAACGGAUCUCUUGGCUCUCGCAUCGAUGAAGAACGCAGCGAAAUGCGAUACGUAAUGUGAAUUGCAGAAUUCAGUGAAUCAUCGAAUCUUUGAACGCAUAUUGCGCUCUUUGGUAUUCCGAAGAGCAUGCUUGUUUGAGUAUCAGUAAACACCUCAAAGCUUUUGGAUUUUUUAAUCGAAAAGCUUUGGACUUGAGCAAUCCCAACACCAAUCUUUUUGAGAUCGGUGGCGGGUUGCUUGAAAUGCAGGUGCAGCUGGACAUUCUCCUGAGCUAAAAGCAUAUUCAUUUAGUCCCGUCAAACGGAUUAUUACUUUUGCUGCAGCUAACAUAAAGGGAGUUUGACCGUAUUGGCUGACUGAUGCAGGAUUUCACAAGGGUCGGCAACGAUUCUUGUUAAACUCGAUCUCAAAUCAAGUAAGACUACCCGCUGAACUUAAGCAUACGAAAAAGGGAGAGAGAGAAGAAA
rnacentral:rRNA from 1 species